GGAAGUGAGGGUGAUCUGGUCACCCUGUUGUUCACCUGGGUCGAUUUGGUUGUUCUGACGACCUAAACCGAUGUUCCCUCUCUCCUUCACUGCUCCAUCUGCAUCCCUCCUGAAGCUGUGUGCUCCGAGAAGAUGACCUUCCCAAUAGAGGACCAGUCUGCAGUCGAAGGUAGAGGAGUAGCUGCAUUACCUUGUUAGAACCUCCAAGCAAGCCCUCAAAAUCCAUUUGUAGAACAGAGGAUACUUCAGUCCAUUCUCUGUUACUUAAUAAAUGAUACCUGAAACUGGGUGAUU
rnacentral:snRNA from 1 species